ACCUAGAUGGCAUCAUUUGGUUCCUGACUGAUGGGAUAAGGAUGUUGGCAUCCUCCUGCUCCCCUCAACUUCUCUCCUCACUUCUCUGUAUCUGCUUCUGUCCUGAACACUGAACUUCCACUUUCUAAUAUCAAUUAUAUUUACUUGGUGAAGAGAUCAAUUCAUUUUUCCUGAGAGCUUUGAAGACAUUGCUUCAUCAUCUUUAGCAUCCAGUGUUCCUGAUGAUAAGUCUGCCGUCAGUCUAAUUCUCCUUCCCUUGCAGGUGAUCUGCACUUUCUCUUUGGAAACCAUUAGACUAUUCUCUUUGACUUUGAGGUUUUGAAAUUCUCUCAUGUUGUGUUCAGUUCAGAGUUCCUCACUGGUUCCUGCCUCAGUCAUCCUUGGGUGUUGCUGGCCAUGAGCUAUAGGUGUUAUUCAAGAACGCACAUGAUUGAGAAGAACUCCACAGCAAGAGAUGCUUGGAUGCCUUCCUAGGAAGAAAGAGUAUUAGAAGGGUGUAACUUUGUCCUGCAAAGAAAAAGUGAUUGCAGAAAAUAAGGAGCAGUGAGUGCCAUGCAGGAAAAUGAGCAUCACAUGGAGAAACAGAGAUGUCUUGUCUUUUCCUCUUUUCCUAAAAGUUUGAGGUUGAGCAGGAAGCCAAGCUUAGACCACGGUCACCCUGACCCAUAGUUUCUCAGAUGGUUCACAGUUGGGGCCAGAACCACACCCAAUCAAGAAAGUCCAAAGUACUGCUGAUUCAGGGGCCAGUGGAAAACUUUAAGAGACCAGGAUUUUGGAAACAUAGGAAACUGUAGAGGUUUUAUCUAGGUUAGUUUUUGUGUAUCGCACUUCUGUUCCUGGAACUCCACAGCAACAGUAGUAAUUCUAUAUUUCAGGCAUUCCCAGGAAUUAUUGGGGAGGGUAUUAGAGUUUAGAUCUAGAAUGACCCCCAGAAUCCUCAUGUUUUCAGAGGUAUAUAUUUUGGAAGGUGAAUGGAUCGUGAGUGUGCUAUAAUCAGUGGAUUAAUCCACUGAUUCUGUGAUACAUUCAAAGCUGAAUGUGCUUGGGUUUGGGGGAGGGUCUGAAGAGGGAGGUCACUGGCAGUGUGAUAUGGAAGGGCAUGUUCUUCUUCCUAGCUCCUUCUUUCCCUCUCAGUUUUCUGGGUGCCAUGCUGUGAGCAGCUGUCCUAUGUCCAGGCUCUUCCAUCAAACCCUUUCUGCCUUGGAGCCAGCCAACUACGGACUGGAGCCUCUAAAAUCUGUGAACCAAAAUACGCCUCUCCUCCUUUGAAUUACAAAUGCAGGAACAUUUUCAUUCCCAGCAAUGAGAAAAUCCCAGAGGGGACAACAUACAUGAAACUCCUGACCUAGAAUUUAUGUGGCUGCGUGUUGUUAAGCUAUUCCAAGUGCUUGCUUUCUAAAUUAUUUAAUGCUUAGUUGGUUAAGAAAGUUUUAGUUGGCUUUAUAACCCACUCUUAAUUCUUAACCACAAUUUCCUGUUUAAGAGUGAUAAGGCACAGGUCUCUAACAGUCCCAUUGAGAUCCAUGUUCCCAGUUGUUUAAUAUUGCAUAGAGGUAAAGACAGAAUGAUUGCUAGAAAGAACGAAGGUUAAUGAUGUGCGUGGCUGAUAGCUUCCACAGAAAUUGAUUGGUGGAGUGGGAAUAAGGUGGGCAUAUGGUUAUUUUGCUGCCAUAUUGAGAAGGGAAAACUGAAAAUCCUAAUAUUGGAAUAGAACACCUAGGUAUACAUUAAAGCCAUGUUUAACUCAUUUAUCAAAUGUGAUGAAAGACUG
ensembl:lncRNA